AAAAGCAAAACUCAAAAAGGCUGACGGGAAAGUAAAAAGAGAAAAGGAAAAAAGAUAAGCCUCGAGCACAGGAAGUGGUGAGCUCAGCCUGGCUUCAAGCUUCGCUUUCAUCCAACAAUAUUCAUCGACGCACGGUAUUCAUUCAUCCAUGUGGGCAAACUUAGGGGGACCUUUUGCAUGGUCUCUUCAUUCAAUGAUCCUUAUUUUUCUUUUCUUUUCUUUUCUCUUUUUUGUUAAAGUAUUGUUGAUGUUUUGUUGUUCUACAAUAG
rnacentral:lncRNA from 1 species